AGUCGAGCGGCAGCACGGGGAGCUUGCUCCCUGGUGGCGAGCGGCGGAGGGUGAGUAAUGCAUAGGAAUCUGCCCGGUAGUGGGGGAUAACGUGGGGAAACCCACGCUAAUACCGCAUACGUCCUACGGGAGAAAGCGGAGGAUCUUCGGACUUCGCGCUAUCGGAUGAGCCUAUGUCGGAUUAGCUAGUUGGUAAGGUAACGGCUUACCAAGGCGACGAUCCGUAGCUGGUCUGAGAGGAUGAUCAGCCACACUGGGACUGAGACACGGCCCAGACUCCUACGGGAGGCAGCAGUGGGGAAUAUUGGACAAUGGGCGAAAGCCUGAUCCAGCCAUGCCGCGUGUGUGAAGAAGGCUUUCGGGUUGUAAAGCACUUUCAGCGAGGAAGAAAGCCUUUGGGUUAAUACCCCAGAGGAAGGACAUCACUCGCAGAAGAAGCACCGGCUAACUCCGUGCCAGCAGCCGCGGUAAUACGGAGGGUGCGAGCGUUAAUCGGAAUUACUGGGCGUAAAGCGCGCGUAGGUGGCUUGGCACGCCGGUUGUGAAAGCCCCGGGCUCAACCUGGGAACGGCAUCCGGAACGGCCAGGCUAGAGUGCAGGAGAGGAAGGUAGAAUUCCCGGUGUAGCGGUGAAAUGCGUAGAGAUCGGGAGGAAUACCAGUGGCGAAGGCGGCCUUCUGGCCUGACACUGACACUGAGGUGCGAAAGCGUGGGUAGCAAACAGGAUUAGAUACCCUGGUAGUCCACGCCGUAAACGAUGUCGACUAGCCGUUGGGACCUUUAAAGGACUUAGUGGCGCAGUUAACGCGAUAAGUCGACCGCCUGGGGAGUACGGCCGCAAGGUUAAAACUCAAAUGAAUUGACGGGGGCCCGCA
rnacentral:rRNA from 1 species